AUUCAACGCUGGCGGCAGGCUUAACACAUGCAAGUCUCGCGGAGUGAUGGUGCUUGCACUAUCACUUAGCGGCGGACGGGUGAGUAAUGCUUAGGAAUCUGCAUAUUAGUGGGGGACAACAUCUCGCAAGGGAUGCUAAUACCCCAUACGUCCUACGGGAGAAAGCAGGGGAUCUCUUGUGUCCUUGCGCUAAUAGAUGAGCCUAUGUGGGAUUAGCUAGUUGGUGGGGUCAAGGCCUACCAAGGCGACGAUCUGUAGCGGGUCGGAAAGGAUGAUCCGCCACACUGGGCCUGAGACACGGCCCAGAAUCCGACGGGAGGCAGCAGUGGGGAAUAUUGGACAAUGGGGGGAACCCUGAUCCAGCCAUGCCGCGUGUGUGAAGAAGGCCUUAUGGUUGUAAAGCACUUUAAGCGAGGAGGAGGCUCUUUUGGUUAAUACCCAAGAUGAGUGGACGUUACUCGCAGAAUAAGCACCGGCUAACUCUGUGCCAGCCGCCGCCGUAA
rnacentral:rRNA from 1 species